rnacentral:rRNA from 1 species
CCUACGGGGGGCAGCAGUGAGGAAUAUUGGUCAAUGGACGGAAGUCUGAACCAGCCAUGCCGCGUGCAGGAAGACGGCUCUAUGAGUUGUAAACUGCUUUUGUACAAGGGUAAACCUGAAUACGUGUAUUCAGCUGAAAGUACUGUACGAAUAGGAUCGGCUAACUCCGUGCCAGCAGCCGCGGUAAUACGGAGGAUCCAAGCGUUAUCCGGAUUUAUUGGGUUUAAAGGGUGCGUAGGCGGAAGGUUAAGUCAGCGGUCAAAUGUCGGUGCUCAACACCGGCCUGCCGUUGAAACUGGUCUUCU